rnacentral:tRNA from 1 species
GAAGGAAGUAGCUUAACACAAAGCAUAACACUGAAAAUGUUAGGAUAGUGCUAUAAACUCUCCUUCA